rnacentral:rRNA from 1 species
GACGAACGCUGGCGGCGUGCUUAACACAUGCAAGUCGAACGGAAAGGCCCUGCUUUUGUGGGGUGCUCGAGUGGCGAACGGGUGAGUAACACGUGAGUAACCUGCCCUUGACUUUGGGAUAACUUCAGGAAACUGGGGCUAAUACCGGAUAGGAGCUCCUGCUGCAUGGUGGGGGUUGGAAAGUUUCGGCGGAUGGGGAUGGACUCGGGGCUUAUCAGCUUGUUGGUGGGGUAGUGGCUUACCAAGGCUUUGACGGGUAGCCGGCCUGAGAGGGUGACCGGCGACAUGGGGACUGAGAUACGGCGCAGACUCCUACGGGAGGCAGCAGGGGAGAAUAUUGCACAAUGGGCGGACGCCUGAUGCAGCAACGCCGCGUGCGGGAUGAAGGCCUUCGGGGUGUAAACCGCUGUCGCCUGUGACGAAGCGUGAGUGACGGUAAUGGGUAAAGAAGCACCGGCUAACUACGUG